GUGACACAUUCCCAAGUCCCCCUCUGGGAGAUGAACUGCAGAAAUGUAACGGUCUAGAGCGAAAGCUAAGGAUACUGAAAGUCUGUCUUUGUUCCCCGUCAAACUUGGCAGAAGCGGAUGUUGCCCGGGACAAGACAUUGCACUUGCAUCCGAAUCUCACGACGUGUGUCCCCAGCCCAGCCGUAGAAGCUCCAAGUCCUGCAGAACCUGC